rnacentral:rRNA from 1 species
GAUGAACGCUGGCGGCGUGCCUAAUACAUGCAAGUCGAACGCUGGAAAUCUAGCUUGCUAGAUUGAAGGAGUGGCGAACGGGUGAGUAAUACAUAAGCAACCUACCCACGAAGCCUGGGAUAAUCUCUGGAAACGGGGACUAAUACCGGAUAGGUAAUCGGAAGGCAUCUUCUGAUUAUUAAAGGUUAAAAACACUGGUGGAUGGGCUUAUGGCGCAUUAGUUGGUUGGUGAGGUAACGGCCCACCAAGACGAUGAUGCGUAGCCGGCCUGGGGGGGUGAACGGCACAUUGGGACUGAGACACGGCCCAGACUCCUACGGGAGGCAGCAGUAGGGAAUUUUCGGCAAUGGGGGAAACCCUGACCGAGCAACGCCGCGUGAGUGAUGACGGCCUUCGGGUUGUAAAGCUCUGUUGUAAGGGAAGAACGGUAGAUAGAGAAUAUCUAAAUGACGGUACCUUACCAGAAAGCCACGGCUAACUACGUG